AUUUUCCAGAAAAUUCACACACACACACACACCCUCUCUCUUAUCUACCAACUCUCUUUCAUCUAUCAACUAAUAAAAAUAGGACAAAUAUAAUAUUUUCUAGAUUGAAAAUUAAAUCCAUCGAAUACAUUUAAUUAACAAUUUCUAUGCAUAUAAGUCGAUUAAUUCAAUUUAUUUUUUUCCACGGAAAUUUCAUACUUGCAAUCAAAUGCAUCAUUAGAUUAAUAAUUGAUAAUGGAAUUGUUACAAAUUAAUCAACUUCCCAUGAUAAAAAUAAAAAUGGACUAAUUAACUUCUUCGCUAUUGAACUGAUGUUGUUCGAUUUAAAAAAAAAAAAGUGAUAAAAAUCCGAACCAUCUAACUCAAUGGUAUCCUAAAGCAUACAAAUAAGUACUUAUUUUACUUGUGAGAAAAAGUAAUAGACCUAACAAAUCUUGUAAAUAAAAUAAAGUUGAGAGGCUUUCGUUCUAACAAUCAUGCUACUUGUACAAUUUAUUUUAUAACUUAGUUUACAAUGCAUGAGUUGACAAACAUUACAUCCAUUUUUUUAAAAACUAUUUUUAAAAUCAAUGACCAUGAUUUUUUCUACACACUAGUUGUCAACCAAGUUGCGCAUAAACAUUGUACAAGUGACUUUAUUCUUGUCCUGAUGGGAAUAGGCGAAAACAUAAGCCUCGUCGACCUAUAGAAACAUUCGUUGACAGCAUUUGAGUCCUCUUCAUGCAUUGGUGGGACAUCUAUCUGGCGGAUUAAUAACCACAUUAGACAUGUUUUUCUUACAAGGGUGAAUUAUACGUAACAGUAUUGGAGCAAGUAACAUUUCUAGAAUGAGUCGUGCUGCACUUACAAAAAGGAAAGUCACAUAAUUUUUCCAAACAACUCAUAGUGAGCGUGGGUGGGUGAUAUUUUUUGGCCUUUUUUUAUCUUACAUGGGCCCCACACAUGUGUCUAUUUUAAUAGAAAUCUGCGAACUGAAAUUCUGUACAAAUGGAAAUUUCUUUCUGGAAUACCCUCGUGUCUUAAAAGUUCCGCUUAAUCAGUUUAAACUCAUUUGGGCACCCUCUGCUUAAACUUAGAUUUAAGAGUGAAUUUUAACUAAUGAUGUGAUAAUAAUGUUUGAGUAGAUGUCCCUUCUUGAGAGACCCUCGUUGCGAGGUGAUAUGGGUAUUGGGGCGGGUUACUUCCAUUUGAACAACAUACUCAGAAGAUUGAUUCCAUAAAGUCACCCAAGUUAAAUUUGAUGGGACAAUAUAUCGUAACAAUUACUUGGGAAUUUCACACCAUAUUCUAAAAAAUCUGCCUUAAUAAGUAAAUUGAGCACCU
rnacentral:lncRNA from 1 species